rnacentral:rRNA from 1 species
AGUGAACGCCGGCGGUAGGCCUAACACAUGCAAGUCGAACGAAGUCUUCGGACUUAGUGGCGGACGGGUGAGUAACACGUGGGAACGUACCUUUUGGUUCGGAACAACUCAGGGAAACUUGAGCUAAUACCGGAUGAGCCCUUAGGGGGAAAGAUUUAUCGCCGAAAGAGCGGCCCGCGUUAGAUUAGCUAGUUGGUGAGGUAAAGGCUCACCAAGGCUACGAUCUAUAGCUGGUCUGAGAGGAUGAUCAGCCACACUGGGACUGAGACACGGCCCAGACUCCUACGGGAGGCAGCAGUGGGGAAUCUUGCGCAAUGGGCGAAAGCCUGACGCUGCCAUGCCGCGUGAAUGAUGAAGGUCUUAGGAUUGUAAAAUUCUUUUACCAGGGACGAUAAUGACGGUACCUGGAGAAAAAGCCCCGGCUAACUUCGUGCCAGCAGCCGCGGUAA